rnacentral:rRNA from 1 species
AACGAACGCUGGCGGCAGGCUUAACACAUGCAAGUCGAACGCUCCGCAAGGGGAGUGGCAGACGGGUGAGUAACGCGUGGGAACGUGCCCUAAGGUACGGAAUAACUUCGGGAAACUGAAGCUAACACCGUAUGUGACCGAGAGGUGAAAGUUUAUCGCCUUAGGAUCGGCCCGCGUCAGAUUAGCUAGUUGGUGGGGUAAUGGCCUACCAAGGCGACGAUCUGUAGCUGUUCUGAGAGGAAGAUCAGCCACACUGGGACUGAGACACGGCCCAGACUCCUACGGGAGGCAGCAGUGGGGAAUCUUGGACAAUGGGCGCAAGCCUGAUCCAGCCAUGCCGCGUGGAUGAUGAAGGCCUUAGGGUUGUAAAAUCCUUUCGCCGAGGACGAUAAUGACGGUACUCGGAGAAGAAGCUCCGGCUAACUUCGUGCCAGCCGCCGCCGUAAUAC